rnacentral:rRNA from 1 species
UACGUAGGGGGCAAGCGUUGUCCGGAAUCAUUGGGCGUAAAGCGCGUGUAGGCGGCCCGAUAAGUCCGCUGUGAAAGUCCAGGGCUCAACCCUGGAAUGCCGGUGGAUACUGUCGGGCUCGAGUCCGGAAGAGGCGAGUGGAAUUCCUGGUGUAGCGGUGAAAUGCGCAGAUAUCAGGAGGAACACCGAUGGCGAAGGCAGCUCGCUGGGACGGUACUGACGCUGAGGAGCGAAAGCCAGGGAGCAAACGGG